rnacentral:rRNA from 8 species
UCCUCGCGGGCGGUCCAACUAAUAUCCCAUCGCGGUGCUCUUCACUGAGUGUCGAGGUGGGCCGAUACGUUUACUUUGAACAAAUUAGAGUGCUUAAAGCAGGCUACCUUCGCCUGAAUACUGUGUGCAUGGAAUAAUGGAAUAGGACCUCGGUUCUAUUUUGUUGGUUUUCGGAGCCCCGAGGUAAUGAUUA